GAGACGGAAAUACGUAAAGCGUAUUCCGGUGACCGCGUAGACUUCGAAGGCAGCCGAAUGGAGGAGGUGCCUCAGGGCUGUCCCGGGACCGGCAGCGCCCAGGCGGGCCGAGGGGCCUCAUGUCAGGGCUGCCCCAACCAGCGGCUCUGCGCUUCCGGAGCCGGCGCCGCUCCCGACCCAGCUAUAGAAGAAAUCAAAGAAAAAAUGAAGACUGUGAAACACAAAAUCUUGGUAUUAUCUGGGAAAGGUGGCGUUGGAAAAAGCACAUUCAGUGCCCACCUUGCCCAUGGCCUAGCAGAGGAUGAAAACACACAGGUCGCUCUUCUGGACAUUGAUAUAUGUGGGCCGUCAAUUCCCAAGAUAAUGGGCUUGGAAGGAGAACAGGUUCACCAGAGUGGCUCGGGCUGGUCUCCAGUGUUCGUGGAAGACAACCUCGGGGUGAUGUCGGUCGGUUUCCUGCUCAGCAGUCCUGAUGACGCCGUCAUCUGGAGGGGACCAAAAAAAAAUGGCAUGAUCAAGCAGUUCCUCCGUGACGUGGACUGGGGAGAGCUGGACUACCUCAUCGUGGACACCCCGCCCGGCACGUCGGACGAACACCUGUCGGUCGUGCAGUACCUGUCGGCGGCGCGCCUCGACGGGGCCGUGAUCAUCACCACGCCUCAGGAGGUGUCCCUCCAGGAUGUCCGGAAGGAGAUCAGCUUCUGCCACAAGGUGAAGGUGCCCAUCAUCGGAGUGGUGGAGAACAUGAGCGUCUUCGUCUGCCCCAAGUGCAAGAAAGAAUCUCAGAUAUUCCCCCCAACAACGGGGGGUGCGGAGGUCAUGUGCCAGGAUCUGAAGAUCCCGCUCCUCGGGAAAGUGCCUCUGGACCCACACAUAGGUAAGAGUUGCGACAAAGGACAGUCUUUCCUGAUGGACGCGCCAGCUUCUGCAGCCGCUCUAGCCUAUAGAAGUAUCAUUCAAAAGAUCCAGGAGUUCUGUGGUCACCAUCAGCCCAAAGAAGAGCACCUCGUUGGUUCCUGAGACACGAGCUGCACGUGGAGCGCAGCCUGAGCAGCCCGGGGACAGAGCGGGGGUCUUGGGCAGAAAAGGACCAGACUCUGGCCUGCUUCCGGAAAACGGACAGCUGGUUGGUCAGGGAGUUCUUCUCUGCUGGAAGCUUGCGGAAGGACAACCUCUUGCUUAAGCCACUGCGGCCUCAAGAGAGACGCCUAAAAAAGAAGCAUCUCAAAAUCCAGUCAUGGUUUCAAAUAACACGGUCCAAAUGCCGCUGCUUUAGAUUGAGGGGAAAAUGCAACCAGCCCCGAAGAGCCCUUCAGUCACCCCUGUAGACAGAACAGGGGGGCCAGGCCCGUGCCCCAUGCGCUAAGGUGCGUUCACUGUCCAAUAAUUUCUGCCGUCCUAUGA